GCUGUAAACGUAUCUGUAGCUGCCUGCCUCACUCUUGGAUUCAGGUUGCGUCUCCAUUAGGGCAGGUCGGGAAUUCUGAACUACAGGAAAGAGAGUGGUCAUUUUUGGCUUGCCAGUCCAGUUAGAGCUGGCAUUGGCCUCCAAACAAGGGGCCUUCAUCAGGAUCACCCUUGCCAACAUUUUUGGAAGAUCCUGAAGGAAUAUGACUGCCAGCCUUCACUUUCCUCAAGCAAACAAACCCUCUGAGGAAGCAGGAUGCUCUUGCUUGGGGCUGAUUGGCCUCAGGCUGUGGUGCCCAGUUACCUGCUGGUCCCUUCAGGCUUCAGGCCUCAGGCCUCAUACCUCCAAGGAGCUCUGUUGGACCAUCUCAAGUUCUGUCAACAAGGAGAUUUGGAUUUGUUUUCCAAGCCGAAUCAAAGACCAGAUUGAAGCAGGGUCUCCUGCCAUCCCAAGUCGGCACUACCACUAACCCCUAAUGUCUUGGGAAAGGUUUCCUGGAACAAACAAAGCGGAUGUUAAUACAAUUCCUUGUUUGACUCUA